AAAAAUAAUUGUCGUUUUU
rnacentral:miRNA from 1 species